CUGCUGCCUUCCGUAGGAGUUUGGGCCGUGUCUCAGUCCCAAUGUGGCCGUCCACCCUCUCAGGCCGGCUACUGAUCGUCGCCUUGGUGGGCCUUUACCCCGCCAACCAGCUAAUCAGACGCGGGUCCAUCUUGCACCACCGGAGUUUUUCACACUGUCCCAUGCAGGACCGUGCGCUUAUGCGGUAUUAGCACCUAUUUCUAAGUGUUAUCCCCCAGUGCAAGGCAGGUUACCCCACGCGUUACUCACCCGUCCGCCAA
rnacentral:rRNA from 1 species